rnacentral:rRNA from 1 species
GAUCAUGGCUCAGGACAACGCUGGCGGCGUGCUUUAACACAUGCAAGUCGAACGGAGUUUGACUUUACGAAGUUCUUCGGAAUGGACGAAGUUAACUUAGUGGCGGACGGGUGCAUAACACGUGAGUAAUCUGCCUCGGAGUGGGGAAUAACACACCGAAAGGUGUGCUAAUACCGCAUAAUGCAGCGAGAUCGCAUGUUCUUGCUGUCAAAGAUUUAUCGCUCCGAGAUGAGCUCGCGGCCGAUUAGCUAGUUGGUGGGGUAAUGGCCUACCAAGGCGACGAUCAGUAGCCGGACUGAGAGGUUGAACGGCCACAUUGGGACUGAGAUACGGCCCAGACUCCUACGGGAGGCAGCAGUCGGGAAUAUUGCGCAAUGGAGGAAACUCUGACGCAGUGACGCCGCGUAUAGGAAGAAGGUUUUCGGAUUGUAAACUAUUGUCGUUAGGGAAGAUACAAGACAGUACCUAAGGAGGAAGCCCCGGCUAACUAUGUG